rnacentral:rRNA from 1 species
ACGAAAGUCUGAUGGAGCAACGCCGCGUGAGCGAAGAAGGCCUUCGGGUCGUAAAGCUCUGUUGUUAGGGAAGAACAAGUAUCGGAGUAACUGCCGGUACCUUGACGGUACCUAACCAGAAAGCCACGGCUAACUACGUGCCAGCAGCCGCGGUAAUACGUAGGUGGCAAGCGUUGUCCGGAAUUAUUGGGCGUAAAGCGCGCGCAGGCGGUCCUUUAAGUCUGAUGUGAAAGCCCACGGCUCAACCGUGGAGGGUCAUUGGAAACUGGGGGACUUGAGUGCAGAAGAGGAAAGCGGAAUUCCACGUGUAGCGGUGAAAUGCGUAGAGAUGUGGAGGAACACCAGUGGCGAAGGCGGCUUUCUGGUCUGUAACUGACGCUGAGGCGCGAAAGCGUGGGGAGCAAACAGGAUUAGAUACCCUGGUAGUCCACGCCGUAAACGAUGAGUGCUAAGUGUUAGGGGGUUUCCGCCCCUUAGUGCUGCAGCUAACGCAUUAAGCACUCCGCCUGGGGAGUAC